UCAGGUCACUGAAACCUCCACCUCCCGGGCUCAAGCGAUCCUCCCUCCUCAACCUCCUCAGUAACUGGGAUUACAGUUCUCUUCAGAAGGGGCUGAGGAGGAUGGAAAAUGAAGACUCUCCCAAAGGGUGGAACCAAGAGCUGUGGAGGACAAGGACACCAGAGCCACUCCCAGUGAACAGAACCACAGCCUAAUCAAGGAACAGACUCUAUCACAAAAUCAAGAGGAGCUGGAUCAAGCCUCAGGUAGAACAUGAGGUGCUGGACUUUAAGAAUGAUGACAGGAUGGAUGAAGAAACAGAGACACCAUGAAGAUAAGACUGAUAUGGUUUGGAUCUGUGUCCCCACUCAAAUCUCAUCUUUAAUUUUAAUCCCCAUGUGUUGAAGAAGGGACGUGACGGGAGGUGAUUGGAUCAUGGGGGCAGUUUCCACCAUGCUGUUCUCGUGAUAGUGAAUGAGUUCUUACGAGAUCUGAUGGUUUAAAAGUGUGACACUUUCCCUCUCACCCCUCCCUCUCUCUCUCCUGCUGCCUUGUGAAGAAGGUGCUUGCUUUUCCUUCACCUUUUGCCACAACUGUAAGUUUCCCGAGGCCUCACAGCCAUGCAGAACUGUGAGUCAAUUAAAUCUCUUUUAUUUAUAAAUUACCCAGUCUCAAAUAGUUCUUUAUAGCAAUGUGAAAAUGGUCUAAUAAAAUGACUUUUUAAAAA
rnacentral:lncRNA from 10 species